rnacentral:rRNA from 1 species
UACAGAGGUCUCAAGCGUUGUUCGGAUUCAUUGGGCGUAAAGGGUGCGUAGGCGGCGUGGUAAGUCGGGUGUGAAAUCUCGGAGCUUAACUCCGAAACUGCAUUCGAUACUGCCGUGCUUGAGGACUGGAGAGGAGACUGGAAUUUACGGUGUAGCGGUGAAAUGCGUAGAUAUCGUAAGGAAGACCAGUGGCGAAGGCGGGUCUCUGGA